UUGUUGACACAGACAAAGAGAGCUUGGUAACUUCCAGAUCAUCACGUCUCCUUCCUUCUAUGCUUAUUUAUGCAUGUUUCUUCUCACAUGCCAUUGAAACAGUCUGAUCAGUUAAUGAGUCUGUCACUGAAAAGGAAAAUUCACCACAGCUUGGCAGUUCCAUGGAGAAGGAUAACUUACCGUUGCCUGAUCAGACCUCCGAUGCAAAAAGGCCCCAACCAUCUGUCCCUGUCGAUGCUCGAAGCAAUCCGAGCAAGCGGGGCAGAUAGAAGUAGAAACAUCGCCUGGUAGGCGAGUCAUCUUUUGGAGAUCCAAGACUUUUUGUUAACGUUGCUGUAAAUGGACGGUUUCUUAUUAGUAUGCCUGUACGAGCGAGUCCCGUGCUUGAGCUUCGGCUCGUAGGCACUUACCGCCACAUCACUUGGUUGCUUAUGGGCAACAAUGGCAACUAUCACAAUCAUGUUUCUGUCCAUCCGGACUAUCAGGCUACUUGGCUAGAAGCUGUAUUUUUGUCAGGUUUGAAUGAUUCAGAUUCGCUUAUUGCAGUCUCAUUUCUUGGUUUAAGUCUGUAUAAUAUUCUGUGCUGAGUCCUUGUCUGUUGCAUGUGUGCAGGACUGCAGGGUAUGAGAUCGAUGUAUACAUGCAUGCCCUAGACUCGGUGCCCCGGAGUGA